rnacentral:rRNA from 1 species
AUUGAACGCUGGCGGCAGGCCUAACACAUGCAAGUCGAGCGGAUGAAGGUAGCUUGCUAUCUGAUUCAGCGGCGGACGGGUGAGUAAUGCCUAGGAAUCUGCCUGGUAGUGGGGGACAACGUUUCGAAAGGAACGCUAAUACCGCAUACGUCCUACGGGAGAAAGUGGGGGAUCUUCGGACCUCACGCUAUCAGAUGAGCCUAGGUACGAUUAGCUAGUUGGUGAGGUAAAGGCUCACCAAGGCGACGAUCGUUAACUGGUCUGAGAGGAUGAUCAGUCACACUGUAACUGAGACACGGUCCAGACUCCUACGGGAGGCAGCAGUGGGGAAUAUUGGACAAUGGGCGAAAGCCUGAUCCAGCCAUGCCGCGUGUGUGAAGAAGGUCUUCGGAUUGUAAAGCACUUUAAGUUGGGAGGAAGGGCAGUAAGUUAAUACCUUGCUGUUUUGACGUUACCAACAGAAUAAGCACCGGCUAACUUCGUGCCAGCCGCCGCCGUAAUAC